rnacentral:lncRNA from 1 species
AGCCCAGCACAGCACAGAUUUACAAAAUGAUACACAAAGACCUCAGAGAGUCUUGCUUUGUUGUCCAGGCUGGAAUGCAGUGGCUCAAUUUUGGUUCACUGCAACCUGCACCUCCCAGAUUCAAGUGAUCCUCCUGCUUCAGCCUCCCGAGUAGCUGGGAUUACAGUGGUACAUCCUGUAGUUGAGGGCUUCUUACACCUGAUGAAAUACCAUAGGUUCUGCAUGUCAGAUGGAGUCUCACUCUGUCACCCAGGCUGCAGUCCAGUAGCAUGAUCCCGGCUCACUACAACCUCUGCUUCCCGGGUUCAAGCAAUUCUCCUGCUUGUGAUUUCCUCCAUUUGGAUUAGAUAAGGACCAAUGAGAGGUGCAUAUUAUUAUCUACGUUUUACAGAAGAGAAAACUGAAGUUUAAAGAGUUUAAGUAAUUUUCCAAGAUGGUAGCUACUGAAUGCUGAGAUGGAGACAACCCGUGGCUUCUUGCCUCCCAGGCUUACCACAGUGCUCUACGGCCUCAGCUAAAAUAUCUCAAUGUUUAAAGAACAUAAAAGGUUUUCUUUUUGCUCAGUGUCAUAAAAGUGAUGACUCAUCCAACACUGGGUCAAAAAUCAAUCACCAUUCCUAACAUAAGGUAUCUGAAACAUGUAUUUUACUGAAUAUUGGAAACCUCACGUGUUUGUGUAUUUGGGUUCACCCAUAUAUGGUAACUAGUGACCAAGUAAUCAUCUGGCGCCCUGAGUAUUGGCAAACAUCUACAGGAUAAGGCUGUCUUUAAGUCAAAUAAAUUUGGAAAGUUUCAAGUCACCAAGUCUGCAUGGUCAUCUGCUCAACUCAUUUAUAAA